GACUUGUUUCUUUGUGGUUGGGG
rnacentral:piRNA from 1 species